CAGAAGAUUUUAAAAGAAAUAAUACAACUACAUUACAUAAGAGAAAUAAACAAAAUGAAUGUCGCAAGCAACAAAUUUCACUGCAUAGUGCAUGCAGAAAAGGAAACAUAAAGCUGCUUCCAAACUACUUAACACUCUCCUAUAUCAAUAGGACCAAUAAUAACUAAAACUAAUGAACCACCACUUCGGUUACAAGAACAGGACAACAAACAUGGAGCAAAUAACAAAUAAUUCCAGAUAACACUACGUUAAUCAUCGAUUGUAGACCAAUUAAUCAAAACAGAUGGGCAUGCCACUAUUUGAUAAAAGGACUGUCUCUCAUGCACAGACAUUCCAAAUAAGUAAGAUUUCUAGGGAUCUUAUAUUCAUGGGUUGAUUCUCUUCGAAUACCAGGAAUGAUGCAUGCCUUAGCUGGAUUAUACCCAAAAGGUCCUCCAUGAGUUCCACCGUUAAAUCAACCUGAAGCCAUUAAGUUUCAAAAAUAAAGAAAAUUAAAAUUUUUAUUAAAAUAACAAUUAUAAACUGACAUGGUAAUCGUGGUGCGUUACCAACCAUAGAUUAUAAUACGAAGACAUGCUUCAGACCAACCUUUGCAAUGACAUAAGUUAUCCAAGGGGCUAGUACACCACAACAUAGAUCAAUCAGAACACAUGCAGCCUUAGCCUGUAGAAGAAGUUGAGAUCAAACAUAUUUGUUUCUUUGAGUACAAAAAUAAAAUCCACACAUCUUAAACCAGCACUCAAUAUUGAUUCACAUAAAUUAUUUGGGUCUUUUAGAUCUGCAAUUACAAUCAUAAAGUCACCAAAAUAUGUAUUUACAUACAUUAUGUAACAUCUACCAUAACAAAGUAAGAAGGCUCAAUCAUAUUUAUACUACUUUUUAACCACGAUCGAAGACAUCUCGAUGAUUCAAGAGGAUUUAUAGAAAGGGAAAAGGAAUACCUCUAAAAUUGACAAGACUUCCGUCUAAGCUCGACUCGAGUUCUCAAAUUUCAAAACCCUAACGUCCUUCUAGAAGAAAAACAAAACAAGAAAUUUCAAACCGUCGCCUUUGAGACCUGCAUCAACAGUCGACGAGCUGAAUCAGAGCCUGACUCCGAAUAGGACUUGGAGGAGCU
rnacentral:lncRNA from 1 species